rnacentral:lncRNA from 1 species
UGAGCAUUACCAAUCAAGGACAGCUGCAGCAACGGAACGCAGUUCAUUUUGUAGCCUAACUAUGAAAGCAAACCACAGAGAAAUAGGCCUAGAUUGAGCACCGAUAUUCAACACAGGCUGAGGCCUAGCAUAGGCUACAAUAGGCCUACAGUUACCCAGAACAAAGAUUAUCCACAGUAUAGAGGUCAACCGAUUAAAUCGGAAUGGCCGAUUAAUUAGGGGCGAUUUCAAGUUUUCAUAACAAUCGGAAAUCGGUAUUUUUGGACCCCGAUUUUUUUUUACACCUUUAUUUAAUCUUAUUUAACGAGGCAAGAACAUGUUCUUAUUUUCAAUGACGGCCUCGGAACGGUGGGUCAACUGCCUCAUUCAGGGGCAGAAAGACAGACUUUCACCUUGUCAGCUCGGGGGAUUCAAUCUUGCAACUGUACAGUUAACUAGUCCAACGCAAUAACAACCUGCCUCUCUCUCGUUGCACUCCACAAGAAGACUGCCUGUUACACGAAUGCAGUAAACCAAGACAUGAGGCGUGACAUGCGGAACAUCAGGCUCACCCCAUGAGAAGCAGUGCAUGAUCCACGCCACCCUCAGCAAGGAGAUCUGCUGGAGGUGAUGUACUGUCUCUCUCACUCUGGGGGAGAAAAUAAAGAAAGAAUGAAAGAAAGAAAGAAAAGGAAAACUAACCAUAAGACAGGAAAAAAAUGGAGAGAAAACACAUUUGAGAGAAAACAAGAGACAGCACUUAACAACCCAGAAUGCACUGCACCCAAGGGAGCCACCUCAAUUACCGCCUCACGUCCGAAGAGGAGAACUCUGCGAGAAAUGAUGGCUGAGAUGGAGACGGCUGGGGGAGGUGUAUGUGAGAGAGAGAGAGACAUAGAGAAAGAGACAGAGAGAUCAACCAUCACUAAACCAUGCUAUAGUCCUCUGGGAGGGUCUAAGUGGGAAGGGAUGUUGUUCAGGGUGUGUGUGCGUGUGAGUAUGUGCACACCCAUGAGUGUGCGUGCAUGUAUUGGGAAUUAGGCA